rnacentral:snRNA from 1 species
GGAUGUGAGGGUGAUCUGUCUGCGACAUCUGUCACCCCAUUGACUGCAUUGGUUUGGCUGAUCUGGCUGGCUAGGCAGGUGUCUCCUUCCUCCCUCACCACUCUAUGUGCGUCCCUCCCAAAGCUGCGUGCUCGGUCGAAGAGGACGGUCUUCCCCAAACAGAGACGGACCAGUCUUCAGUCGAAAGUAUACAAGUAGCUGAGCUCCCCUAUUAGAACCUCCAAACAAGCUCUCAAGAAUAGGAAAGCUUCCAACGGAGGGGAUGGGAUAUGGAGAAACUCUGGUGAUGGAAAUUAUAUGGAAUUGUACCCCUCUUAUCCCACAAUCUUAUCGAU